GGGUUUGUAGCUCAGCGGAUUAGAGUUCAUGAUUCCGAAACAUGAGGUCAAGGGUUCGAGUCCCUUCUAACCCU
rnacentral:tRNA from 7 species